UCAUUUUCAGAUCUUGUCAUUUAAUUUUAGAUAUGAGCAAAGGCCAGACCCAAAAAGAUAUUUUGCAUUUAUGUGUCCUAUAUAAAGAUGUUCAGCUAGGUGUGUGCAAGAUUUUCAUUAUUAGCUCAUCUGGCCCAAAGGGCCAAGUGACCUUUUCUCAUCACUUUUUGUCCGUUGUCAUCCGUUAAGUUUUACAAAAAUCUUCUCUGGAACUGCCAGGCCAAAUUGCCAUAAUCAUCCUUAGAGUAUGUUGUUUCUAAUUAAUAUCAUAUGUCCUUGCCAGUCAAACAACAUGGCCGCCAGGGCUAAAAAUAGAACAUUGGGGUAAAAUGCAAAUAUUGAUUACUAUCUUGAAAACUGUUGC
rnacentral:lncRNA from 1 species